UAAUGAAAAUGAAUAGGCUGCUAUAUAAACACAAAGCAGAAAAUGUUUCAAAUUAAAGAUCAGAAUAAUGGUGUUGUGCUUUUACAGCAUUUCAGCUCUGCUUCUUUGUUUUGACAGAAAUAUUCAGAGUGUCACUGAGGGAAAUAAUGCAUCCCUCUACUGUAAACAUGAGGGGAAAGUGGUAUGGACUAAAGACAGAGAUGUACAGUGCACAAAAUGAAGAGAUAAAGAAACACAUUGAUGAUCCGCACAACCGUUAUAGUGUAUUGAGUGAUUUAUCACUACACAUAAAGAGUGUUUCUCUCUCAGACUCUGGAAUUUACGACUGUAAUAAGAAUACAGCUGUGAAUCUGACAGUAACAGCAUCAGUGAGCUCUGCAGCAGCUUUACUUCAGGAAUUGACAGUGUGGACAAAUCCAAGAGUACUCAAUCUAAUACCCAUCCACAAUUCACCUUAACACCAGAGACCUCAACUAGAACAGCCCUAAUUGAAGGGACAUCUUUAAAGAACAAUGAAGGCACAAGAGGAGUAAUCUUACAAACUGAAAUUAUGAUCCCUGUUGCAGUAUUAGGAGGUUUGCUCGUGAUAGUGGUUCAGCUGCUCUGGAGAUGUGUCCGCAGAAUAGCUGCUAAGGAGAAGAACGAUCACAUUCAUGGCUUCAAAGUAAUUAAAGUUCCUGCAACACAACCUGGUGAGGAGCACAGUGUGAUAGUGUACCACAUGAUCUAAAGAGUGAACAUGAAAAGAGGACCUUGCAGUGUAAAGUAAUACUGUCCUUUGAUAGGAUUAUAACAGGAAAACUUCAGCCUUUAAGUACCUAAGUAAAAGUUAGAUUUAGUAAACAUUGAGAAUCUAAAUCAAUGUGAUUAUCUGUGUGUACUGAAUAGAUGUCUGUAUAGUGUUACGCAUCACCAGUUGAAUUUACUGUAUGUUUGUUUGCGGCCUUGGCUCUUACUUGAAUUAAGUUCAUAUCAAUUGCUAUUGCAUUUGUAUUGCAUUUAUUUCCUUGUCAGAUAUUUUUGUUAAUCAAUAAAAAUGAAGUAUUUUUUUGGUCAAGAAAGAAGAUAAGAGCACGUAUCAAAAAUGCUCAAAUGCAUCCGAAGAGUCUGCAGUUCUGACAGUGUUUAGAUCUUCAUGCUCUAUUUGUGAACAAGAAAGCU